UACGAAGGGUGCGAGCGUUGUUCGGAAUUACUGGGCGUAAAGGGUUCGUAGGCGGGAGCUUAAGUCAAGUGUGAAAUCCCCAGGCUCAACCUGGGACGUGCACCUGAAACUGGGCUUCUUGAAUCUUGGAGAGGGUGAUGGAAUUGCUGGUGUAGGAGUGACAUCCGUAGAGAUCAGCAGGAACACCGGAGGCGAAGGCGAUCACCUGGCCAAAGAUUGACGCUGAGGAACGAAAGCGUGGGGAGCAAACAGG
rnacentral:rRNA from 1 species